CGAUGACGAUAUGCCGUUGCCAAUGUAUAAAUGUAAAUGAGAAAAUACUAAAAAAUAGAUAUACUAAAAUAGUAUAAAAGCAUAUUAAAAUCAAAGUACCUCUCCAAAUGUGGCGAAGGCGGCGAAGACGACAACAUGCCGGUGUCGGCGAUGACGAUUUGCUGGUGCCAGCGACGGGGACAAAUGAGAAAGGAUAUUAGUAAAAAAAAUAUUUGACAAUAUUUGAAAAAAAUAUAAGUGAAAAUGAAAAAAGAUAUUCCUUAAAAAAAUAUACUGAUGAUUUGCGCAAUUAAUGUGAGAGAUAAAAAGUCAUGAAGCUGCACACUUAUUAGCAUUUAAAAAUCUUAAAAAGUAAAACAAAGUAUACAAAAGACGAAUUGGGUAGGAAAUUAUAUUAUGACACAUUAAAACUAUGGCAAAGGUGACCGAGAGCGAUGAGGAACGAAUAAAAUAUUACUAAAAUAAUAUAUUUGAAAAAACGUAUAGUGAAAAUGAAAAAUGAUAUACUUUAUUAUUAUAUUUAAGAAACGUAUAUAUAAAGAUGAAAAAGUAUUAAAAUAAGAUAUACUUUAUGUAUGGAUAAGUAUUAUGAUGAGAUAAAAUUGGGUAUGGAUAAGUAUUAAGAUACUUUCUAUAUAAUUAAAAUUUUAAUUUUAA
rnacentral:lncRNA from 1 species